GACGAACGCUGGCGGCGUGCUUAACACAUGCAAGUCGAACGGAAAGGCCCUGCUUGCAGGGUACUCGAGUGGCGAACGGGUGAGUAACACGUGGGUGAUCUGCCCUGCACUUCGGGUUAAGCAUGGUCAACUGGGUCUAAUACCGGCUAGGAGCCAUUUUUAGUGUGAUGGUUGGAAAGUUUUUUCGGUGUAGGGUGAGCUCGCGGCCUAUCAGCUUGUUGGUGGGGUAAUGGCCUACCAAGGCGGCGUCGGGUAGCCGGCCUGAGAGGGUGGACGGCCACAUUGGGACUGAGAGACGGCCCAGACUCCUACGGGAGGCAGCAGUGGGGAAUAUUGCACAAUGGGCGCAAGCCUGAUGCAGCGAGGCCGCGUGGGGGAUGACGGCCUUCGGGUUGUAAACUCCUUUCGCUAGGGACGAAGCUUUUUGUGACGGUACCUAGAUAAGAAGCACCGGCUAACUACGUG
rnacentral:rRNA from 1 species